rnacentral:piRNA from 1 species
AAGGGAACAAGAAUUGGGGUAGGAGAG